GGAAAAUAGCACCGCUUGGACCUGAUUAGACCAUUUUAUCAUCAGGGUUGGACGUUUAGAAAACCACCUUCCAGCUGUCACUCACACUUCCGGAUGCAUCUACCGGGUAAAAGAUUAACCUUUAAACGCUAUCCGCGCAUCUGGGAUCAAGCGCGUAUAUUUUUACUGUUAUUUGUUUUUAUAUGUGUAGACUUUAGCACAUGUCGGUCAAUACCUUGCAGAUGGUCAAACUUACAGAUACUUCACUGCCAUCUGAUUUGAUGGCAGUAAGGUUCGAAGCCACGAUUGUUUAUUUCAUGUCAGGUGAUUGAUUUAUCAUAACAAAAAUGAUAAUCAUCACAGAGAAAAGACAAUUUCUUUAUUACGCAAAACAGCAGGAUUGUAAUGGUCAUAAAACAAGGAAGGAAAUUAAUCUUAUAGACGAUAGUUGAAGAUGCUAUAAAUAAGAAUACCUGGACUAAGAACACUGUGAUGUCAGUAAUGCUACUCAGUGAGUGGUUUACUACGGUCUUACAAACAGAGACCAUAUGCCAUGCGCUCUUCAGUCUGAUAAAGCACCAUAUGGCCCAGGCGUCGCGUUUAGUCCUGUCUCAAUCCGAUUAACCUGUCGAAUAAACCAGUCGGUUUCUUUUCUAGUACUCGUGUUAUUUACUCUUUGAAGGUAAUUGUAUAACAGCUACUCAGGCUUAAUCGAUAGGCAGAUGCUGUAAUCGCGAUUUAUAUUUACACAGAUGAGUGUUGAUAAACAGGAGCCGGUCAUGAACACGUGCAAUGGCUAGAAAACUCGAGCGAGGAUAGAGCAAAAGUACAGUGCCAUGGAGGAUGCCCAGUCCAGACCCCAUUCAGUCCACUCCACAUACUCGCAGACAACCGAGGAUGCAGCCUCCGCCUUGGGAAAUCAUGCUGAACAUCACCUUACUGUCAGUCAGACAGUGCUGGUGGUUCCGAAGCGCUCAGAGAGCCCCAAUCCGAGUAUGACCGAAGAGACGACUUAUGCCCCUCGACUGGUGUCUUCAGUUGAUGCUUGUACUAACACAGACCCUCCAUACGAAUGCUGCCCAUGGCUGCGCAGACUGUGCCCGUGUCCACCCAGAGGCCUGCUGGCUACCAUUAUCACCAAAGGUUAG
rnacentral:lncRNA from 1 species